rnacentral:rRNA from 1 species
CAGUCGCCACGGUAAAACGGAGGAUCCAAGCGUUAUCCGGAAUCAUUGGGUUUAAAGGGUCCGUAGGCGGUUUAGUAAGUCAGUGGUGAAAGCCCAUCGCUCAACGGUGGAACGGCCAUUGAUACUGCUGAACUUGAAUUAUUAGGAAGUAACUAGAAUAUGCAGUGUAGCGGUGAAAUGCUUAGAGAUUACAUGGAAUACCAAUUGCGAAGGCAGGUUACUACUAAUUGAUUGACGCUGAUGGACGAAAGCGUGGGGAGCGAACAGGAUUAGAUACCCCUGUAGUCCCUGUCUCUUAUAC